GUGAUGGUUAAUGAUGCAGCUCUUUUUUCCCCGUCAUAUCGACCGUGGUGAUUCUUCUGCUAAUAAGCCAAAAUCACUGAAACCAUGC